UACGAAGGGGGCUAGCGUUGCUCGGAAUCACUGGGCGUAAAGCGCACGUAGGCGGCUUUUUAAGUCAGGGGUGAAAUCCUGGAGCUCAACUCCAGAACUGCCUUUGAUACUGGAAAGCUCGAGUCCGGAAGAGGUGAGUGGAACUGCGAGUGUAGAGGUGAAAUUCGUAGAUAUUCGCAAGAACACCAGUGGCGAAGGCGGCUCACUGGUCCGGUACUGACGCUGAGGCACGAAAGCGUGGGGAGCAAACAGG
rnacentral:rRNA from 1 species